rnacentral:rRNA from 1 species
CAUACGCAAUCCGGCGAACAAUACUCUCAAAGUUUGACCUCAAAUCAGGUAGGAAUACCCGCUGAACUUAAGCAUAUCAAUAAGCGGAGGAAAAGAAACCAACCGGGAUUGCCUUAGUAACGGCGAGUGAAGCGGCAAAAGCUCAAAUUUGAAAUCUGGUACCUUCGGUGCCCGAGUUGUAAUUUGUAGAAGGUAACUUUGGGGCUGGUCCUUGUCUAUGUUCCUUGGAACAGGACGUCAUAGAGGGUGAGAAUCCCGUGUGGCGAGGAUCCCAGUUCUUUGUAAAGUGCUUUCGAAGAGUCGAGUUGUUUGGGAAUGCAGCUCUAAGUGGGUGGUAAAUUCCAUCUAAAGCUAAAUAUUGGCGAGAGACCGAUAGCGAACAAGUACAGUGAUGGAAAGAUGAAAAGAACUUUGAAAAGAGAGUGAAAAAGUACGUGAAAUUGUUGAAAGGGAAGGGCAUUUGAUCAGACAUGGUGUUUUGCGCCCUCUGCUCCUUGUGGGUGGGGGAAUCUCGCAGCUCACUGGGCCAGCAUCAGUUUUGGCGGCAGGAUAAAUCUGCAGGAAUGUGGCUUGCUUCGGUAAGUGUUAUAGCCUGUAGAAAUACUGCCAGCUGGGACUGAGGACUGCGACUUAGUC